GCGGGAAACGUUCAAUCGCAAUGGCUUGAACCGGGUAAAAGUCGUAACAAGGUAUCUGUAGGUGAACCUGCAGAUGGAUCAUCG
rnacentral:rRNA from 1 species